AUUGUUAUUUAGGGCCCCCACCCUCCGCUCAGGGCUGGGGGCCAGGGGUAAUAGGUGAGCCCCGACCUCCAGUCCUGAGCUGAGGGUGGGGGCCCUAAAUUAGAAUAAGGUAGG
rnacentral:miRNA from 1 species